AUUGAACGCUGGCGGCAUGCCUUACACAUGCGAGUCGAACGGUAACAGGCCGCAAGGUGCUGACGAGUGGCGAACGGGUGAGUAACGCAUCGGAACGUGCCCAGUCGCGGGGGAUAACGCAGCGAAAGCAGUGCUAAUACCGCAUACGAUCUGUGGAUGAAAGCGGGGGACCGUAAGGCCUCGCGCGAUUGGAGCGGCCGAGGUCGGAUUAGGUAGUUGGGGAGGUAAAGGCUUACCAAGCCGACGAUCUGUAGCCGGUCUGAGAGGACGACCAGCCACACUGGGACUGAGACACGGCCCAGACUCCUACGGGAGGCAGCAGUGGGGAAUUUUGGACAAUGGGCACAAGCCUGAUCCAGCCAUUCCGCGUGCAGGACGAAGGCCUUCGGGUUGUAAACUGCUUUUGUACGGAACGAAAAGGCUCUGGUUAAUACCUGGGGCUCAUGACGGUACCGUAAGAAUAAGCACCGGCUAACUACGUGCCAGCCGCCGCCGUAAUAC
rnacentral:rRNA from 1 species